rnacentral:rRNA from 1 species
GACUUCUGGAAGGGAUGUAUUUAUUAGACUAAAAGCCAAUACGGGUGCUCCUUUUGGUAGCGCACGUUCAUGUGGUGAUUCAUGAUAACUUCUCGAAUCGCAUGGCCUUGCGCCGGCGAUGUUUCAUUCAAAUUUCUGCCCUAUCAACUGUCGAUGGUAAGGUAGUGGCUUACCAUGGUUACAACGGGUGACGGAGAAUUAGGGUUCGAUUCCGGAGAGGGAGCCUGAGAAACGGCUACCACAUCCAUGGAAGGCAGCAGGCGCGCAAAUUACCCAAUCCCGACACGGGGAGGUAGUGACAAGAAAUAACAAUCCGUGUCUAUAUUCUAGACGCGAAAUUGGAAUGAGUACAAUUUAAAUCCUUUAACGAGGAUCAAUUGGAGGGCAAGUCUGGUGCCAGCAGCCGCGGUAAUUCCAGCUCCAAUAGCGUAUAUUAAAGUUGUUGCAGUUAAAAAGCUCGUAGUUGGAUUUCGGGAUGGGCCAGUCGGUCUGCCGCAAGGUAUGUUACUGGCUGGUCUGUUCUUCUUCGCAAAGACUGCGUGUGCUCUUAACUGAGUGUGCGUAGGAUUUGCGACGUUUACUUUGAAAAAAUUAGAGUGUUCAAAGCAGGCUAUCCGCUUGAAUACAUGAGCAUGGAAUAAUGGAAUAGGACUUUGGUUCUAUUUCGUUGGUUUCUGGAACCGAAGUAAUGAUUAAGAGGGACAGUUGGGGGCAUUCGUAUUUCG